GCAAAGUGGCCGACUCUAAGGCAAAAGACUGUAAAUCUUCUAAUGGCUAAACUAAUAAGCCCAUUGCAC
rnacentral:tRNA from 1 species